rnacentral:rRNA from 1 species
CGCGUAGGCGGCCCUGUCAGUCAGGCGUGAAAGCCCCGGGCUUAACCUGGGAAAUGCGUUUGAUACUGCGGGGCUUGAGUGUGGGAGAGGUUGGUGGAAUUCCCAGUGUAGAGGUGAAAUUCGUAGAUAUUGGGAAGAACACCGGUGGCGAAGGCGGCCAACUGGACCACAACUGACGCUGAGGCGCGAAAGCGUGGGGAGCAAACAGGAUUAGAUACCCUGGUAGUCCACGCCGUAAACGAUGUGUGCUUGACGUUGGUGGGUUUACCCGCCGGUGUCGCAGCUAACGCGAUAAGCACACCGCCUGGGGAGUACGGCCGCAAGGUUAAA